rnacentral:rRNA from 1 species
CCCUUAGAUGUUCUGGGCCGCACGCGCGCUACACUGAUGCGUUCAACGAGUAUACAACCUUGAUCGAUAGGUCUGGGUAAUCUUUUGAAUGCGCAUCGUGCUAGGGAUAGACUGUUGCAAUUUUCAGUCUUGAACGAGGAAUUCCUAGUAAACGCAAGUCAUCAGACUGCAUCGAUUACGUCCCUGCCCUUUGUACACACCGCCCGUCGCUCCUACCGAUUGAAUGCUCAGGUGAGCCAUUCGGACUUUCAUCAUGCUGGUUUCCAGUUUUGAUGAAGGAAAGUCUUGCGAACCUUAUCAUUUAGAGGAAGGAGAAGUCGUAACA